UACAGAGGCCUCGAGCGUUAGGCGGAAUCACUGGGCUUAAAGCGUGUGUAGGCGGACUUCUAAGUACCUUGUGAAAUCCCACGGCUCACCCGUGAAACUGCUCGGUAUACUGGUCGUCUUGAGCCUUCUAGGGGCGAGUGGAACAAAUGGUGGAGCGGUGAAAUGCGUAGAUAUCAUUUGGAACGCCAAUGGUGAAAACAACUCGCUGGGGAAGUGCUGACGCUGAGACACGAAAGCCAGGGGAGCGAACGGG
rnacentral:rRNA from 1 species